rnacentral:lncRNA from 1 species
CCCCAUCCCCUCUACUACUGCUGAUUCUUCUUCUUCUUCAAGCUUUUUCGCUUUCCACUUUUUAUAUUUGCAAAAGUCUUUAUCUUUUUCUCUAUAAACAAAAAUAAUAAUAACUUUAUCCCCUCGUUCCCUCAUUGUUACCACCGCCACCUCACCUCUAUUCCCUCUACUGUUUAACGCUUUUUCUUCUUCAAGCUUUCUCACUUUCUCUAUUUACAAAAACUUUAAUUUUUUCUGUCUUUUUCCUCCAUUAUCGCCACCCUCACUUCCACCCGGCCUCUGCUGAUGCUGCUUCUUUUUCUUCAAGCUUUUACAUUUUUCUGUAUCGGGUUUAUAAUUCUUCGAAAAUGACGGCUUUAAUGUUGCAAGGAUGAGGAGAUCGAGCAACUGUUGAUUUUAGCUUCUAAACAAAAUGUUAAGGUUGAGCUAGAAGCCACCAUCAUAUACGGUGUCAUUUCAAUUUUGUGGAAUAGUUAUUAUCAGUGUAUUGUUUGUUAUUGCCAUAUUACCAUAUAGUAUGGUCG